UCUGAAAUCCAGCAAGCACUGUAGAGUUGCAAAGCUAGAGGAACAACGGGUGGGGCCUAUCCUCAGAAGUUCCUGCCCCUGAGUGAACUCCUUCAUAACGUUUAGCAACCAGAUGCUGUUAUAAAUAAGCUUUGUGAGCUUUCGCGCCUUUACUAUGCAUUCUUGCACAGUAUUUAUCCUCGAAAACUCGUCGAGCAUCUGAUCUAUGCAGUAUGU
rnacentral:lncRNA from 1 species